GCCCCGACCCGCGGGCGCCCGGCCUCUCCCGCCCGCCCCGGGGCUCCGCGCUCCCCCGGCGCCGCCUCGCGCACUUCCCGGGAGCGGCUUCCCGGGGCCCACUGGGCUCAGGGGGUUGUUUGGUUUUUUGUUUUUUUUUUUUUCCUCUCUGUGUUUGGCGCUUUUCCCCGCCUUCCUCACCCGGAUUCAACCCUCGAGGCUGGAUCCCGGGGGGCGUCGGGUGGGCCGGCGGCGGGUGCGCGCGGAGUGCGGGGUCGCUGCCACUGCGCGCGCCGCGCCUCGGGGGGGAACUAGAAUGCGUUCGGGAGCUGCCUGCCGGGCCCCGGGCACCCCCAGCGCCUGGCACUCCGCGGGCGCUCAAUAAAUAUUUGUUGAAUGAAUGAGCAGUUGACUACCGCGUUCACCCCCUGGAGCUUUAACUGACACCGAGAGGACCGGAAGCCGGGCUCCAGGGCGGACGCGACCUCCCGGGGCCACCGUUGAUAGCUUUCAAAGCGGGCGUGUUUGUCUCCGGGACUUAAUCACCUUUAGGACUUCCUCAGUGAUUCCUCCACGUGGACCCCUAGGAGCUGAAGCAUUUGCAUUAUAGAAUGGGGACUUCGCAAAGCUAUUUCAGUUGUCUCUGUUCAAGGAAAUUGCUUGACCAAAUGUUCUCUAACUACUGGUGUACUUUGAAUUUAAUACACAUCAGGGUGUUCCGUGCGCGUCCAGUGGAACCGGAUUUCUACCAAAAUGAUUUCAGCUGCCUUUUCUGGAAUGUUUUCAGCUGCCACCCCCUACCACUCGCACUGAAAGCUUUUUGCAGAACUUGAGGUUUGAAUCUGGGCGCUGGAUAGUUCAAGUUUGACAAUAAUUGCGUUAAGAGGGUUGGAGGCAAACGGAAAAUUUUAAUUACAGCCUUCAGUACGUUUAUUCUUUUUCCUCUGAAGACUGAGGUCCACCCACUUUGUUGUAUCCAAUGGUUAAAUCCCAAUUUGAAAGUCCAUUUAAAUCAUAAAAGCAGAGCUAUUCAACGUCUUUUAUUAAAAUUAGGCUUAAAAUUAGAGAGUCAACUAGAUGGGUAGGUGGAAUAAGAGCAUGAUUCCCAGAAAUAUCAUUUUCUUUUUCCUCUGAUGUCUUUUCAGAAGAAACAUUAGGCAUAUUCCAGAAGCACUGAUACUCAGACUGCGAAACCCACACAAAUAUAAACACAUUUAUGCACGCACAAGCACUAGCAUACUCUGCUUGAAAGGUGCCUUGGAGAAAGAAAUGAGGAUAAAUGAAUUUGAAUGUGGAGGCUAGUUUGACAUGAACAUUGUGACCAUCCCUCACGACGCCUGAAUAGAUGGAUGUGAAGACAAUUGGCGAGGGCUUGCUUCCCCCAUUGAUUACAAGGUUUAUUUCGCCAAAUCUGGCUGACUUGAUUGCUUCUCUGAAAAAAGCUAUGGGUUCUUUUAAAGAGCAUCUCUCUCUCUCUCUCUCUUUCUUUCUUUCUUUCUUUCUUUUUUUUUUUUUUUUUCUGGAUGAGCCUACAUAUGAGUGAGUGUAGUUGCUAGAAUUA